GCGGCGCGUGAACUUGAACACUCGUGAGGUUUUGGCGGCGGAGCUGAAGUUAGUUUUGUUCAUCAGAGUACAUCACGAGCUGCAUGACAGGCUGAUAUAUGGCCAUCUCAGAGGUCCGUAUGAAGAAUGCAGGAUUGCAAUGAAACAGACGGGCCGUGCCGCUAUCAAACACGCCCCCCGAUGGCAGGGUUCAUAGAUCGGGCACACAGACAGAGGACCAGAGAUCUGAUCUUUGGCUCUUUAUUCUGCUCGGGUGCUAAACAUCAUCAUCGCUCCAGAACGUAGAAACUGUUGCACAGCAAAUAUAGGAAUCAGCCGAAAGCAUCGUACUGGCAUGACAGAAAACGGCAUACUGGGAACUCAAAGAGGAAAAGUCACAGUAAGACGUGUCAUUUAUUUCCUCCAGAAACACACCAGAGGAGUUCAACUUCAGAAGAAGUCUCGUGACCAAGUCCCCGUCUCGCUGUCAUUCAAACAGGCUCAGUUGUGGAUUUUAUUACUCUUUCAUUGAGUUCUCUGUAUGAUUUAUUUAAACAUCAACUCAGAAGACGCCCCUCAGUGAGAAACAUCUGAGAAGAAGAUGUGUUUCUAUUGUCCUCUAUUUCAUCUCAUUGCUCUCUGGAGGAAAAGACUGUAGAGAUUUUUCUCUUAAUGCACAAUUUUCAUCAAAGCUCACACCAAUAAGUAGCCGGAGUUAUGCUCGUGUCUUUUCUCGCAGCGAGUCCCUGCUGUCGUGCUUAUAAAGUUGCUUAGUAACCGAGGAAGUCGAGCUUUGGUGCCAGUUAUUCUCACUGCGAGCAUAUGCCGUCCUGACUCGCACACAUACUGAAAAACAUUAACAUGUGAGUGAAGGAAACUGUGUGCGUUUGCAGUCUUUAAUUCUCCUGCUGAUUGUUGUUAUUAAUGACAGAGACAGAAGUCUACAGACAGACAUUAAUAAAGGCAAUCAAUCAAAUGUG